rnacentral:rRNA from 1 species
UGAGGAAUAUUGGUCAAUGGACGCGAGUCUGAACCAGCCAAGUAGCGUGAAGGAUGACUGCCCUAUGGGUUGUAAACUUCUUUUAUAUGGGAAUAAAGUGGUCCACGUGUGGACUUUUGUAUGUACCAUAUGAAUAAGGAUCGGCUAACUCCGUGCCAGCAGCCGCGGUAAUACGGAGGAUCCGAGCGUUAUCCGGAUUUAUUGGGUUUAAAGGGAGCGUAGGCGGAUUGUUAAGUCAGUUGUGAAAGUUUGCGGCUCAACCGUAAAAUUGCAGUUGAUACUGGCAGUCUUGAGUGCAGUAGAGGUGGGCGGAAUUCGUGGUGUAGCGGUGAAAUGCUUAGAUAUCACGAAGAACUCCGAUUGCGAAGGCAGCUCACUGGAGUGUAACUGACGCUGAUGCUCGAAAGUGUGGGUAUCAAACAGGAUUAGAUACCCUGGUAGUCCACACAGUAAACGAUGAAUACUCGCUGUUUGCGAUAUACAGUAAGCGGCCAAGCGAAAGCAUUAAGUAUUCCACCUGGGGAGUACGCCGGCAACGGUGAAACUCAAAGGAAUUGACGGGGGCCCGCACAAGCGGAGGAACAUGUGGUUUAAUUCGAUGAUACGCGAGGAACCUUACCCGGGCUUAAAUUGCAAAUGAAUUAUGGGGAAACCCAUACGCCGCAAGGCAUUUGUGAAGGUGCUGCAUGGUUGUCGUCAGUUCGUGCCGUGAGGUGUCGGCUUAAGUGCCAUAACGAGCGCAACCCUUAUCUUCAGUUACUAACAGGUUAUGCUGAGGACUCUGGUGGGACUGCCAGCGUAAGCUGCGAGGAAGGCGGGGAUGACGUCAAAUCAGCACGGCCCUUACGUCCGGGGCUACACACGUGUUACAAUGGGGGGUACAGCAGGCAGCUACCGGGCGACCGGAUGCCAAUCCCGAAAGCCUCUCUCAGUUCGGACUGGAGUCUGCAACCCGACUCCACGAAGCUGGAUUCGCUAGUAAUCGCGAAUCAGAAUGUCGCGGUGAAUACGUUCCC